CAGAGCCCUCUCCAGCGACCUAGUCGAGCUUCCUGUCGAUUCUGAGCUAACGCCAUCUGUUGUUUGGAUUUUUUUCAGCUGUUCCUGCAACGUCAAGUCUGGCUGUAGUCCCGAGUUUCCCUUGCGACGCCGUCUGGACCCUAUUACCUGUCCGCCCUCCACCGCAGCACAACCUCCACCUCCAGCGCCUCCACACCUGGCCACGCCGUUGUUUAUUCUCCUCCCCGAAAGUCCUGACUUACCUGUCUGUCGCCGUCCCUUCGAUGACUGAGAGCCUACCCUGGAAAUCUUUUGUAAAUAAAUCACUUUAACUGAU